UAGUGAUUAACGCGAAGAACCUUACCCAAGCUUGAACAGCGAGUGACCACUCCCGAAAGGGAGCUUCCGCAAGGACACUCGUAGAGGUGCUGCAUGGCUGUCGUCAGCUCGUGUCGUGAGAUGUUGGGUUAAGUCCCGCAACGAGCGCAACCCUUGUUUGCUGUCGCCAUCAGGUAAUGCUGGGCACUCUGCAAAGACUGCCGGUGAUAAACCGGAGGAAGGUGGGGAUGACGUCAAGUCAGCAUGGCCUUUAUGUCUGGGGCUACACACGUGCUACAAUGGCCGGUACAAACCGUCGCAUAGCCGCAAGGUGAAGCUAAUCGGAGAAAGCCGGUCUCAGUUCGGAUAGCAGGCUGCAACUCGCCUGCUUGAAGUUGGAAUCGCUAGUAAUCGCGGAUCAGCACGCCCGCGGUGAAUACGUUCCCGGGCCUUGUCACACCGAAUCGAAUUC
rnacentral:rRNA from 1 species